GUUUAUGGUCCAACAUGGUUAUUGGAAAAAGAAAAGCUAGUUAAAAUAAAAAUGAACACUCCAAGCACCAUAACUACUACAGCCAUUGUAAUGUGUGUGGUGGGAGGUGUACCCUGAUGCUGUCUGACAGUAGGAUAUCAAACCAGUUUAGCACAGUUUGACAACUUACCUAGGUUUUGCUGGGUGCCUACACUACAUCUGGUCUUCUCCAGCAAGAGAAACCAAACGUCUCUGUAGUAAAGUUGAUGUAGGACUGCACUCAUGGUUAGCGGAUACUCUUAACCUAUGUGUGCAGUCCUACAUGGUCCUGACUUGUUCUGUAGAGUAAACUGACUUCUCCACCUGGAAAAGCUGUCCUUAAAAGGUUAAAUUGGCACUUUACAAUAAAUGUUGCACUGUAUUUUUAAGAAAUAUAUUUGCAUACGAGUGUAUCAUUUUUUUGGGGGGGGAGGGGGAUGUGGAUCUUGGGUAAGUUCCCAGACUUUUCCCCCCAGUACUUGACCCCUGAAAAGAGGGUACGAUGGAAGGGACAUGUGGUGCUUGUUUGGGCGAAAGUUGUUCAGGAAUCUUUUAUUCAGUAGGUUAUAGUUGUAAAAAUAGCAGAGUUUAGGGAAGUGACUGUUACACUGGCCGUGCAUGUAACUGAAGGCCCUAUUACCCUGGCAGCUGGAGGGGGACUAAGUGCCAGCCUUCUCCCCAAUGACUAAACCUACGGCCUGGGAAGGGGUUCUGUUUUUUAAGAGGUGGAUAUAGUCGGGAUGACUUUUUCCCCUUGGUAGGGGUUUGCCACAUUUCCCAAAUUACUGGUGUAACGGAUUAUUCCCCAACUUUCAAUUGCCUGUCAUCUGGUUUGAAGAGGUGGAGAUAUUCUCUGUUGUGUAGCUAAAGUUGAAUUUAAUGUAUUGAAUCUCCAGGUUGUAUGUGCCUUACCCUGCUUCCUGGCUUAUUGUUUUCCCAGUAGGAUGUUGUCCCACUGUUCCAAGGACACUUCCAGACCAGUUCAAGGUGGCUGCCUUGUCACUCCUUUAAAUUCCUCAUGUGAUCCUUAGCCCUUGUUAGUGUGUGUCCCUACCGUUCCUUGCAACCACAGUGCUCCAUUCACACUAGUUGUAAUAUCAUUAGGCUUUGUAGUGUAAUUGGUUGCUUUCUCAAGUCGAUAUUGCUAUUGGUUGACUUGGGCUCACUGUGCUGUUUGGGAGGGGGUUAUGAUGGAGGUCCUGAAAGGGAACUUUGUGUACCACUGUUGUAUGUACAUGAGGUUGUUGGGGGUAUAAAUAAAUGUACUGUUUCCAAUAAAGCUCAGGUGUGUUUCACCCUGGACUGGUGGAAGAGGUCCUCAGAGGCCCCAGUCAAGAUUCGGCGACUGCAUCUGAAGUGUUCCAGAGUUCCUGGUAGCAAGGAGGAAGCUGGCCUAGAGGAGGUACUCCAUCACAGUGC